UACGGAGGAUCCAAGCGUUAUCCGGAUUUAUUGGGUUUAAAGGGUGCGUAGGCGGAUAAAUAAGUCAGUGGUGAAAGCUAGCAGCUUAACUGUUAAAUUGCCAUUGAUACUGUUUAUCUUGAGUGUAUUUGGAGCAGGCGGAAUGUGUUGUGUAGCGGUGAAAUGCUUAGAUAUAACACAGAACACCAAUCGCGAAAGCAGCUUGCUAAGAUACAACUGACGCUGAGGCACGAAAGCUUGGGGAGCAAACAGG
rnacentral:rRNA from 1 species